rnacentral:rRNA from 1 species
CCCUACGGGGUGCAGCAGGCGCGGAACCUUUACAAUGCACGAAAGUGUGAUAAGGGAAUCCAAAGUGCUUUGCUUUUAGCAAGGCUUUUGCCAAGAGUAAAUAUUUUGGCGAAUAAGUGGUGGGUAAGACUUGUGCCAGCCGCCGCGGUAACACCAGCGCCACAAGUGGCAAUCACUUUUAUUGGGCCUAAAGCGUCCGUAGCCGGUCUAGUAAAUUCCCUGUGAAAUCGUUAGGCUUAACUUAACGGUAUGCAGGAGACACUACUAGACUUGGGACCGGGAGGCGUCAGAGGUAUUUCUGAGGGAGCGGUAAAAUGCUAUAAUCUCAGAAGGACCCCCUGUGGCGAAGGCGUCUGACGGGAACGGAUCCAACGGUGAGGGACGAAAGCUAGGGGAGCAAACCGGAUUAGAUACCCGAGUAGUCCUAGCUGUAAACACUGCGAACUAGGUGUUGCAUAUUCUUCGGGAAUGUGCAGUAUCGAAGCGAAGGUGCUAAGUUCGCCGCCUGGGAAGUAUGGUCGCAAGACUGAAACUUAAAGGAAUUGGCGGGGGAGCAC